rnacentral:rRNA from 1 species
AGAGUUUGAUCCUGGCUCAGAAUGAACGCUGGCGGCAUGCCUAACACAUGCAAGUCGAACGAAGGCUUCGGCCUUAGUGGCGCACGGGUGCGUAACGCGUGGGAAUCUGCCCCUUGGUUCGGAAUAACAGUUGGAAACGACUGCUAAUACCGGAUGAUGACGUAAGUCCAAAGAUUUAUCGCCGAGGGAUGAGCCCGCGUAGGAUUAGGUAGUUGGUGUGGUAAAGGCGCACCAAGCCGACGAUCCUUAGCUGGUCUGAGAGGAUGAUCAGCCACACUGGGACUGAGACACGGCCCAGACUCCUACGGGAGGCAGCAGUGGGGAAUAUUGGACAAUGGGCGAAAGCCUGAUCCAGCAAUGCCGCGUGAGUGAUGAAGGCCUUAGGGUUGUAAAGCUCUUUACCCGGGAUGAUAAUGACAGUACCGGGAGAAUAAGCUCCGGCUAACUCCGUG